CAAAACAUAGUCUCUGCGGUAAAAAGGAAUUCAAAGACUGAUGAUAAUUGUGACAAGUCUUAUUUUUAAGUAUUGAUGUAAUAUAGGUGUGUCCAAUUGGUUAUUUGUAAGCUAUUGGAGCGGUUUUGCUGAGAAGCACCAAGAAUGAAUAGACCUUUAUGAAUAACUAUCGGAGUUUUUAGAGCUGCAGAAGUGAGCUGUUGCCAUUUUAUCUGUUUUGUGGGCUGAGCAUCCCACUGACUACCCUAUGAGACCUACCUCGCUACCUAAUCUAUGGUUUUUUUUAUUAUUUCUCAUCCUUGAUCAUCUCUCGGUAGGCUGACUCCUGGUCCAGCUAGAUGGAGACAGCGCAUAAAAGAUGGUGACUUGGAUGAAUCUCCGGAGCAGUUAGAAAGAAAGGAAUUGAUCAGAUCAACUGGUGGACUGAUGCUUCCCAAACCAAGAAACCUUUUAUUGGAAAAUCUGGAAGAAGAUGAAAAGCGGACUACUAUGAAUGUUUAUACAAAGGAUACUGGAAAGUAAAUUUCUCCGAAGGCUGCUUUUUCUUUCCAACCCCGAAAAAAUUGAAUUAUGGAUUUAACAAGUGAAUACUUUUCUCAACGCUUUGACAAACCUUCAUCAAACAAACUUUCCACCAAACGAAAACCAGGCAAAUCAAAGGAAUAAGAGCAGUAGCAACAGUAAUCAAAGUAAAAGGCGCUCCUUCCUGAGUGAAUUUUUCGGAGCAAGUCCAUCAUCCAAGAAAAUCAAUCUUCCGAAAGAAAGUGCUCUCAAAACAGCAACAAGCACCUCAACAAUAUCCAGUGAUGAAUGCUCCAGAGACUUGUCUCCAUUUCAAAGUUCAGAUCAGCAACCGGAGACGAAGCAUGAUGUGAACAUAUACCUAGAAGAUACUUUAAUCCUACCAAAAUCUCAUCCAAAAAAUCCAUUUGAACCAAACAGCAACAUUUAUCUGGAUGAAACUAUCUCAUGCUUUCAGGAGGCCAGUACAGCACCUUCUUCUAAAAAGGUAGAAAAACCAAAAAGAGUGAGCCUGCAUCUAGCAAUGAUACUUCAGAAGAUGUUAGGUGGAAGAGACUAAAUGAACUCAAACGUUGCCCCAUAUGCCUGAAGAAAUUUGAAAAAUUAGUCCCUCACAUCAAAUCUUGUGCCACUAAGCAAAGUAUCUCAACGGACCAACUGUUCAAAGCAAUAGAUUGCAACUGAAACAAAAUGAAGAAAGAGCUGCGCUUGGUUUUCUCUCUUCCCAAACUGUCAGGCCAACAACUCGCAGAACAACUUCAGCAUCGAAGGUAGACUUUUAAUGAUUUUUUUUUGUUUACCUCCGUUCUAAUUUUUAAGGAAUUUUAAAGUAAUACUAUGUAUUUCCAUUCAAAGAACGAUGUUCAAAAAUAAUCAUUGAUGAUGGAUGUAUGUUUCUAUAAGUUAAGUUCACAACAGGUCCAUCCAGACCCUCUGAAGUACCUAAUUACUACCCUUGCUUUGUGCCUGUUGGAUAUAGGUUAUAUAUCAUCUAUGGCCACACUGUACAAAAUUAAAAACGUAUACUGAGGCUCGUGUUGUAGCCAAACCUCGAUUUUUGACUAUCACCAGCCAUUAAAAUAAGGUUGCAAGUCUACUAAAGUAUGUACUUUGUAAGGGUGUCCGUCUCUUCUUUUGGUACAAUCAGCGUAAUUAAUUAGGAUGCUAUACAUUUAUCCAUGUACUGCUUGGUAGAAUUGUUCGCUUAAAUGAUAGUGGGGCCAGAUUUUUCUUUUACUUAAGCUACAACCAUAACUUAGUAAAUUUUUUAACUGAGUGAGUUAAUCUUGAACUCAAACUCAAGUGACAGUUUCUAAGUUGAUCUUUCAAAUGAAAACAUGAUUUAGCAUCUUGUCAGCUCAGUUUUUAAAUUACAGAACUAACCAGACUACUUUUUGGAUAUUCUCUGUAUCAUUGAUAUCUGCAUGUUUUUUCCUCUGUUUCUUUCAGGUUCAAAGAUGCCAGUUUGGAGCUGGCACUUGCUCUUCAA
rnacentral:lncRNA from 1 species